rnacentral:pre_miRNA from 1 species
AGGCAGUGUAAUUAGCUGAUUGUACUGUGGCGCUUACAAUCACUAACUCCACUGCCAUC